AACAAAAUCUCCAUUUUUAACGUGCUAAUUCGGGAUAACAGUGAUAUAAGCACAGAGACAUAAAAAUCAAGCGAGAUUCAGACCCAAAAAUUUCAACAGGCAUUAAUAAUCAGAAUUAAUUAAGAACAAGAUGAGAAAUGGACGUUACAAGGAAAUCAAAUCUUUUGGCUAUCUGUUGCUCAACCACGACUAAACUAAGAAUCGAGACCUAAGACGGGCAACCUCGUUUCUUCAAAGAAACUAAUGAAGAGACUCAUCCAGACGGAUUUUCCGCGCGAUGGCAAAGACUUGUCCGGAAAACUCAAAAUAAAUCAAAAAAUAGAUCCAACGAACUCCAUGAUAAAAGUUCCUGAUGUGGAGUACUUUCCCGGCUGAUGGAAGUGAAGAGAUCGGCUGCUGCUGUGUGCGUUCAAAGAAGCAGUAGCGGCUCCAGUGGUUUUCAGAGAGUGGGUGGUCGUGAGUGACUGUUUUCCGACGAUGGUUAGUUGUUUCUAUGGCUCAAGGUUGAAGAAGAUCAAACUUUUAUC
rnacentral:lncRNA from 1 species